UUCAAGCAAGAUUUAGGAAAAAAGAUAGAUAAAAACACACAAGUGGAGAUGGGUUUGGUGGGAUUUGUGGUUUUUAGGGUUCAAGAUUCAUGUUUGAACAUAAAGAUGUGAAAUUUGGUCCAAAAUCUUGAUACCCAGAUGAAAAAAAUCCAAACUUUAUAACAAGAAACUAUAUUUCUUGAAAAUUCAAGCAAGAUUUAGGAAAAAAGAUAGAUAAAAACACACAAGUGGAGAUGGGUUUGGAUUUGUGGUUUUUAGGGUUCAAGAUUCAUGUUUGAACAUAAAGAUGUGAAAUUUG
rnacentral:lncRNA from 1 species